GACUCCACGAAGUUGGAUUCGCUAGUAAUCGCGCAUCAGCCAUGGCGCGGUGAAUACGUUCCCGGGCCUUGUGCACACCGCCCGUCAAGCCAUGGGAGCCGGGGGCGCCUGAAGUCCGGGACCGCGAGGACCGGCCUAGGGCGAAACUGGUAACUGGGGCUAAGUCGUAACAAGGUAGC
rnacentral:rRNA from 1 species